CAGCUACCCCCAUCCACACAGGCCGCUCCCAGGUGUGGCCCCCUGUGUCUGGGCCAGCCAGGCUGGGUCAGUGGCUGGAGGGCCAGAUGCCCUGGGCUGUGUGAGGCUCUCCAGGGUCCUGCUGGGCGGCCUCAGUGGGCUUUUGUGCCCUCCCUUACUGAUUCGCCUGGUGCACUUCAGCUUUUCCUUGUCACCAUCCUUGUCUGAGGGGACACCAGGGGCAUUGGCUUUUGUCAACAGGACUUUGGAUAUGAACAAAACACACGCAAUCAUUUCCCACCAGGAUAUGACAUUCUGGACCAACCCUGAAUGUGGGCACAUGUG
rnacentral:lncRNA from 12 species